rnacentral:rRNA from 1 species
GAUGAACGCUGGCGGCGUGCCUAAUACAUGCAAGUAGAACGCUGAAGGCGGAGCUUGCUCUUCUGGAUGAGUUGCGAACGGGUGAGUAACGCGUAGGUAACCUGCCUGGUAUCGGGGGUUAACUCUUGGAACCGAUAGCUAAUACCGCAUGACAACAGUUAUUGCAUGAUAACUGUUUAAAAGUUGCAACUGCUCCACUACCAGCUGGACCUGCGUUGUAUUAGCUAGUUGGUGAGGUAACGGCUCACCAAGGCGACGAUACAGAGCCGAACUGAGAGGGUGAGCGGCCACACUGGGACGGAGACACGGCCCAGACGCCUACGGGAGGCAGCAGUAGGGAAUCGUCGGCAAGGGACGGAAGUCUGACCGAGCAACGCCGCGUGAGUGAAGAAGGUUGUCGGAUCGUAAAGCUCGGUUGUAAGAGAAGAACGAGUGUGAGAGUGGAAAGUUCACACUGUGACGGUAUCUGACCAGAAAGGGACGGCUAACUACGUG